AUGAACGCUGGCGGCGUGCCUAAUACAUGCAAGUCGAGCGAACAGACGAGGAGCUUGCUCCUCUGACGUUAGCGGCGGACGGGUGAGUACACGUGGAUAACCUACCUAUAAGACUGGGAUAACUUCGGGAAACCGGAGCUAAUACCGGAUAAUAUAUUGAACCGCAUGGUUCAAUAGUGAAAGACGGUUUUGCUGUCACUUAUAGAUGGAUCCGCGCCGCAUUAGCUAGUUGGUAAGGUAACGGCUUACCAAGGCAACGAUGCGUAGCCGACCUGAGAGGGUGAUCGGCCACACUGGAACUGAGACACGGUCCAGACUCUUACGGGAGGCAGCAGUAGGGAAUCUUCCGCAAAGGGCGAAAGCCUGACGGAGCAACGCCGCGUGAGUGAUGAAGGUCUUCGGAUCGUAAAACUCUGUUAUUAGGGAAGAACAAAUGUGUAAGUAACUAUGCACGUCUUGACGGUACCUAAUCAGAAAGCCACGGCUAACUACGUG
rnacentral:rRNA from 1 species